UACAGAGGAUGCAAGCGUUGUCCGGAAUUAUUGGGCGUAAAGAGCUCGUAGGCGGUCUGUCGCGUCGAAUGUGAAAACCCGGGGCUCAACCCCGGGCCUGCAUUCGAUACGGGCAGACUAGAGUUCGGUAGGGGAGUCUGGAAUUCCUGGUGCAGCGGUGGAAUGCGCAGAUAUCAGGAGGAACACCGGUGGCGAAGGCGGGUCUCUGGGCCGUAACUGACGCUGAGGAGCGAAAGCGUGGGGAGCAAACAGG
rnacentral:rRNA from 1 species